GUCAAUUGGCAUGUGUAGAUGGGGCGAGGCCUCGCGGACAACUUGGCUUGAAUGUAUGUAGGAGCGGAGGUGUCGUUGAUGUUAGGAUACUGGAGUUAAGCACUAGGUUUUAUUUCUGCCUAAAUAACACAAGGACUAAAUUGAUUACUUGCGAGGAGUUUAGCUCACAGAAUGUAUAUACACUCAGCUGUAACUUUGCUAUAAAGCGCACAAAUAAGCAGACGAUCGAAAUACACUACAGGAACUCUGAGGGGAUGCUGAGCUACUUCUCGCGAUGUUUUGUGGACAUAAAGUCUCUUUAAUCGUGUAGAAGUAUUUGUGGUUGUGUCGGUGGCAUUGAUGGCGGUGUGCAGGCGGGAGUUCGCUUUCGAAGGGAUACCAAUUUUUCUUUUGGUAAUUGCAUCUCUGGUAACAUGUCAGGCUCAGAAUCUUACCUCUAACAACGCUACACUGACAUCCACAGAGUCUUCUAUAACACUGGAAUGGACAGUGGACAGCAAAGCUAAAACAUACCAGCUUACCUGGCAUAGGAAUCUGGGCAUUUUCUUCUUUGAUGAGCUUUUUGUGGGACCUUUCAAUGACUCCGUCUGAGAUUUACAACUCCACCAAAUCUGCAGCCUGGAGCCAUCUACACUUUCCUCAUUUUCAAAAAUGGAAAUACAACUGAACAUUUAAUCUUUCAGAAGGAUGUUGCAACAGUGCCUUUGCCCCCAGACAAUGUAACUGUUACAAACCGUACACAAAUUCUGUUAUGUUGUCCUUGGGAACGUGGUUACAACAGUUCAACAUCGGUAUACUAUGAAAUCCAGUAUUCGGAAAACAGUUUCUCACAAAAAGUGGUCAGCAACUCCUCAAAUCCUGUUUACAACCUAACUGGCCUCUUACCAGGCCACACUUACGGCGUCACACUCUUUGCUGUGAUAUGGGACAAACGCAGCAAUGCUUCAAGAGUGAUUACUGCUGUUACACUGCCUUCUGCACCAGUGAAACUGUCAGCAAAGGCUCUUAACACCACAGCUCUUCAGGUCACGUGGGAGGCUGCACCCAGCAGCUUACAGAGUUCCUUUAGUGUGUCAUAUGCUAGUGAUAUUACUGUGAACACAGCAAGCUGC